rnacentral:misc_RNA from 1 species
GAUGAAGAACGCAGCGAAAUGCGAUAAGUAAUGUGAAUUGCAGAAUUCAGUGAAUCAUCGAAUCUUUGAACGCACAUUGCGCCCCUUGGUAUUCCGAGGGGCAUGCCUGUUCGAGCGUCAUUAUAACCCCUCAAGCUCAGCUUGGUGUUGGGGCCUGCUGCACUGGCAGCCCUUAAAAUCAGUGGCGGCGCCAUCUGGCUCUAAGCGUAGUAAUUCUUCUCGCUAUGGAGUCCUGGUGGAUGCUUGCCAUCAACCCCCAAUUUUUCUAUGGUUGACCUCGGAUCAGGUAGGGAUACCCGCUGAACUUAAGCAUAUUCAAUAAGCGGAGGA